AUCCGGGAGCUAGUCCCUCGCUACCUCAGCUCGGCGCCGCCCGAUCCCCGCCUGGCAGCUGGCGCGCGCGGCCGUCCCUCGCUCCGCCCCUCGCGGGGUUCGCUGGGAAUUGUAGUCCGUGGCCGCCUCCUCUGGGGCCAGUAGGCCAAGUAGGCUCUGAUGAGGUGACCCCAAAACUAAGUCAAGCAGUGGGAAUCCAGAGAUGGUUGGAGGAAGUGCGGCUUUUGGGAUGCUGUAAAUACCUCAUGAUUGAGACUGGUUCCCAUGGCGGGGGAGGCUCAGCUCCCCCCCCACCCCCCCGCUAGGAUGGUGUUCUUAGAGGCUCUUGGUCCCUCACUCACCCAAGAAUGGGAGAGAGGACCCUGCCAGAUGCGGUGCAGUGCAGAGCCUCUCCUAUCCUAACUAAGGGCAAGGACAGAAUCUCUAACCUUGAAAAUGGCAGAAGAUUAGAGACCCUAAAGAGACCUGAGGUUGAAAUGAAUGGGAUUUGGAGUGUAUGAACUUCAUGACCAGGGACCACAGAGAAAGCACAGACUCAGCAGUAAUACCAGCCUCAUGAUGGCAAUGAAAAGUCUAGCUGUGACCCUCUUCUGAUCGCAGCAUAAUAUGAAUCCUGCCCCAAAUCUGAAGUGCUGUAGAGAGGAUCCUAGCCAACAACCUUCAAGUCAAAGAGUAAAGUGAAUAAAAUAUGCUCAGCUGGAAAAUACAGCUGUUUGGAUUUGGGAGCAUUAAGCAAGAGAGGUGAAAAGCAAAGACAAUACUGGAAGCGAAUGGCUGACUACUGAGACAAGAAUUCAAGAGAACUCUGAUUGGAUUCCACACACAAGUAUUUGUCUUUCUCUGACUGGAUUAUUCUACUUAGCGUCAUGCCAUCCCGGUUAUCCAUGCUGUUGUCACGAUUGAUUGAAGAAUUUUCUUUAGCAUUUAUUUUAAAGCAUGCCUGGUGAUGAUGAACUCCCAUAGCUUUGCUUCGUCUGGAAAAUCUUUGUCUCCAUUUUCGAAGAUUAGCUUUCCUAGAAUGACUUCCACCAAGAUGGCCGAAUAGGAACAGCUCUGGAGUGCAGUUCUCAGCGAGAGCAACAGAAGG